CGCCGGCUGCCCCCAGGGCUUGGGGGGAGGCCAACGCAGGUGCGUGGGAGGGCGGGGGUGGGAGCCAGCGAGGAGGCGGGUGGUGGCCGGGGGCCCAGAGCGGCCCCUCCCCGUCCAGAUCCGUUGCCCCUCAGUCCAGCCUCUCCACCCCUCACCAGGCCCCCACCAGGCUGUCCAGCCCGGGAAGACCUGUCCCUGCCCUGUCAGUUUCCCCGCCCCCCAAGAUGGGGGGCGCAGAGAGGAUUCUAGAAAAGCCAAGGUGGCCAGGCGGUGAGGGACCGGCGGAGUCGUCACAGUUAGUGCUUCACACGCAGGCUCUUGGGUCUGGGGGAGCGUGGGGAUGCAAGGAGGUGGGCUUUCUGAGAUGCGAGGCUGGCACCUGGGUCGCCUCGUGGGGCAGCCCUCUCAGCAGCCAGGCUGGCGCAAGCUCGCCUGGAGGUUUCCUGGCCCCGCUGAGCACAGGACUGGGAGUCUCACCUGCACGCACUAGCCCGCCGCCCCAACCGGCCUGACGCCUCCCUAAUGAGGGAGCAGCAGGUGGCCACCUGUCAAGCUGGUCCCCUUCUCCCUCCUGCCCACGAGUGCAGGGGCUGCCGAGCUUGGUGGCAUAGUCCCAGGCUAUGGCCCACGGAAAGCAUCCUGGGGCGGCAGGACUGGGCCAUGGGUGAUGGGGGUGCAUGGGAAUCCUCAUCGUCCAAGGUCUCAGCCCCACAGAAGAAAGGGGAGGAGGUGGGCAGAGACUCCCAGGAUCCCAUGUGCCCAAUGGGGGCAGAGGGAGGAGUGGAGGAGGAACUGAUCCCUUCUCUGGUCAGAGGGUGAUCAAAAAGGAUUGUCCAUCUGGUCCACUGCACUUCCACCCUCUAGUCUGGGUGGCUUCAGUUUCCUACAAAGGGGGUAUCAGAUGAGAGGGAGGGGAUGCUCAGUUUCAAAACUUAGGCUGGGGGAUGAGAGGCGGUGUCCCGAUUGCGAGCUCCAGUCCCAGGGGACUCAUGGAAUCUCCAACUAAGGAAGGUCUGGGUCCUCACCCCCACCACUUCUGGGGAGUUCAGAAAGGCCCCCUGCUGAAGGGCCCUGCAGUUCCAGUCAAGACCUCCCCCUGGUCCCUUGGCAGCGAUGGCACUGCUGUUGUGGGAGGGUCGGCUCCUGUCUGCCCCUAUCCACCUGUGUUUACUGAUCCCAAGUCCUCCAGGUCCUGCACAAACACCUGCACCUCCCUUCCUCUCCUCCCCUGCCUCAAGUGUGGCUACACGAGUGAGUCCAGGUUCUGGCAAUUUGCUGGCCGUCACUGGUGUUCCUCAG
rnacentral:lncRNA from 1 species